rnacentral:misc_RNA from 1 species
UGUGGGAGCUGGCUUGCCUGCGAUGGCGGUGUAUCAGCCACUAUUGUGUUGGCUGAUCCACCGUCAUCGCAGGCAAGCCAGCUCCCACA